CCUGGUAAUAAGGGCAAAGAGGCCACACCCGUUCCCAUGCCGAACACGGAAGUUAAGCUCUUUAGCGCCGAUGGUAGUUGGGGGUCUCCCCCUGUGAGAGUAGGACGUUGCCAGGC
rnacentral:rRNA from 1 species